GCUCGUGUGGCUCAGCUGGUUAGAGCGUUGCAUUCACAUUGCAAAGGUCCCUGGUUCGAAUCCAGGCACGAGCA
rnacentral:tRNA from 1 species